GCCUGAAUCAGCAUGUGUGUUAGUGGAAGCGUCUGGAAAGGCGCGCGAUACAGGGUGACAGCCCCGUACACAAAAGUGCAUGUGCUGUGAGCUCGAUGAGUAGGGCGGGACACGUGGUAUCCUGUCUGAAUAUGGGGGGACCAUCCUCCAAGGCUAAAUACUCCUGACUGACCGAUAGUGAACCAGUACCGUGAGGGAAAGGCGAAAAGAACCCCGGCGAGGGGAGUGAAAAAGAACCUGAAACCGUGUACGUACAAGCAGUGGGAGCACAGGUUUACCUGUGUGACUGCGUACCUUUUGUAUAAUGGGUCAGCGACUUAUAUUCUGUAGCAAGGUUAACCGUAUAGGGGAGCCGUAGGGAAACCGAGUCUUAACCGGGCGUUAAGUUGCAGGGUAUAGACCCGAAACCCGGUGAUCUAGCCAUGGGCAGGUUGAAGGUUGGGUAACACUAACUGGAGGACCGAACCGACUAAUGUUGAAAAAUUAGCGGAUGACCUGUGGCUGGGGGUGAAAGGCCAAUCAAACCGGGAGAUAGCUGGUUCUCCCCGAAAGCUAUUUAGGUAGCGCCUCGUGAACUCAUCUCCGGGGGUAGAGCACUGUUUCGGCUAGGGGGCCAUCCCGGCUUACCAACCCGAUGCAAACUGCGAAUACCGGAGAAUGUUAUCACGGGAGACACACGGCGGGUGCUAACGUCCGUCGUGAAGAGGGAAACAACCCAGACCGCCAGCUAAGGUCCCAAAGUCAUGGUUAAGUGGGAAACGAUGUGGGAAGGCCCAGACAGCCAGGAUGUUGGCUUAGAAGCAGCCAUCAUUUAAAGAAAGCGUAAUAGCUCACUGGUCGAGUCGGCCUGCGCGGAAGAUGUAACGGGGCUAAACCAUG
rnacentral:rRNA from 1 species